ACCUAUACAAGAUAGCUCAGUUGGUAGAGCACGAGACUCUUACUCUCAGGGUUGUGGUUUCAAGACCCAGGUUGGGGG